rnacentral:tRNA from 1 species
AGCUCUGUGGUGCAAAGGACAGCAUGUUGCACUUCUAGUUCAUCUCUAAAGAAGUGAUUCAAAGGUUGUGGGUUUGAUUCCCACCAGAGUCA